rnacentral:rRNA from 1 species
UACAGAGGUCCCAAGCGUUGUUCGGAAUCACUGGGCGUAAAGGGUGCGUAGGUGGUCAUUAAAGUUUGGUGUGAAAUCUCCGGGCUUAACUCGGAAAGUGCAUUAAAUACUGAAUGGCUGGAGGGUUGGAGGGGAGACUGGAAUUCUCGGUGUAGCAGUGAAAUGCGUAGAUAUCGAGAGGAACACCAGUGGCGAAGGCGAGUCUCUGGACAACACCUGACACUGAGGCACGAAAGCUAGGGGAGCAAACAGG